AUUAAAGGCACUGCCUGCCCAGUGACUCCAAUUAAACGGCCGCGGUAUCCUAACCGUGCAAAGGUAGCAUAAUAACUUGUCUUUUAAAUAAAGACUAGUAUGAACGGCAAGACGAAAGCUUAACUGUCUCCUUUAUCCAAUCAAUGAAACUGAACUUCCUGUACAAAAGCAGGAAUAAACCAAUAAGACGAAAAGACCCUAUGGAACUUAAAACACGUAAUUACUUUUAACAACCAUUAAAAUUCUACCCAUACUGUUUUUGGUUGGGGCAACCAUGGAGAACAAAAAUCCUCCAAGACAUUAACAUUAGUAACACAAAACAAAAGUUCAAAAACUUGACACAAGACCCAAAAAUUUUGAUCAACGAACCAAGCUACCCUAGGGAUAACAGCGCAAUCUUCUCCAAGAGUACUUAUCGCCAAGAAGGUUUACGACCUCGAUGUUGGAUCAGGAUACCCAGAUAAUGUAACCGCUAUCAAAGGUUUGUUUGUUCAACAAUUAAAAUCCUACGUGAUCUGAGUUCAGAAACC
rnacentral:rRNA from 1 species